rnacentral:rRNA from 1 species
UCUGGUGGCGAUAGCGAAGAGGUCACACCCGUUCCCAUGCCGAACACGGAAGUUAAGCUCUUCAGCGCCGAUGGUAGUUGGGGGCUCUCCCCCUGUGAGAGUAGGACGUCGCCAGGC